AGGGCGGGGAAGGCCCGGGGAACCCAGCAGCGCUGCCGCCGCCGCCGCAGCAGCAGCCGGAGUUGGAGGAGGGAGAAGCCAGGAAGAAAAUGGCGGCUGUGGCUGCAGAGGCGGCAGCGACUGCAGCGUCCCCCGGGGAGGGGGGCGCCGGCGAGGCCGAGCCGGAGAUGGAGCCCAUCCCCGGCAGCGAGGCCGGCACUGACCCGCUCCCGGUCACGGCCACUGAAGCAUCUGUGCCGGACGCCGAGGCCGACGGGCAGCAGUCCUCUCCUCAGGCCGACGAGCCCCCGCUCCCGCCGCCACCGCCGCCGCCGGGGGAGCUCGCCUGCAGCCCGGAGGCGGCGGAGCUGGAGCUGGAGGCGGACGAACUGCCUGCCGGUGUUGUGGAGCUGACGGCAGCCGCGUCUCAGGAGGGGCCUGACCUUCCACCUUCCCCUGCACCGCCGCCCGAGCAGCCCCCAGCUCCCGAGGAGCGCCAGGAACUACCGCUGCCCCAGCCAGCAGCCCCUGCGCUCGUGCCGCCGGCGGGCGGGGACUCCGCGGUGUCGCAACUGAUCCCCGGCUCGGAGGUGCGGGUCACGCUGGACCACAUCAUUGAGGACGCGCUCGUCGUGUCGUUCCGCCUCGGGGAGAAGCUCUUCUCGGGGGUCCUGAUGGAUCUGUCCAAAAGGUUUGGGCCCCAUGGGAUCCCUGUGACAAUAUUUCCCAAAAGGGAAUAUAAGGAUAAACCUGAAGCCAUGCAGCUCCAAAGUAAUACAUUCCAAGCAGGGACAGAAGUGAAGCGGGAAGUGAAUGGUGCUGUUCCUGAUGUCCCUUCUCCUGUCCCACCUCCCGAGCUGAGCUUGGCCGAAAGCCUGUGGACUUCCAAACCACCGCCUCUCUUCCAUGAAGGAGCACCUUAUCCUCCCCCUUUGUUUAUCAGGGACACAUAUAACCAAUCAAUACCUCAGCCACCUCCUCGGAAAAUUAAGCGACCCAAACGAAAAAUGUACAGGGAAGAACCUACUUCAAUAAUGAAUGCUAUUAAACUACGACCCAGGCAAGUCUUGUGUGACAAAUGCAAAAACAGUGUUGUUGCUGAAAAAAAAGAAAUUAGAAAAGGUAGUAAUGCAAGUGACUCUUCUAAAUAUGAAGAUAAAAAACGGAGAAAUGAAAGUGUAACUACUGUGAACAAAAAACUGAAAACUGACCAUAAAGUGGAUGGGAAAAACCAAAACGAAAGCCAGAAAAGAAAUGCUGUGGUUAAGGUUUCAAAUAUUGCUCACAGCAGAGGCAGAGUAGUCAAAGUUUCUGCUCAGGCAAAUACAUCAAAAGCUCAGUUAAGUACUAAAAAAGUGCUCCAGAGUAAGAACAUGGAUCAUGCAAAAGCUCGGGAAGUUUUGAAAAUUGCCAAAGAAAAGGCACAGAAGAAGCAAAGUGACACCUCUACGUCCAGAAGUGCGCAUUCAAAAGUCCAUUUCACACGUCGAUAUCAGAAUCCUAGCUCAGGUUCCCUUCCACCCCGGGUUCGUUUAAAACCACAGAGGUACAGGAAUGAAGAAAAUGACUCUUCUCUGAAGACAGGACUGGAGAAAAUGCGGAGUGGCAAGAUGGCACCCAAGCCUCAGUCCCGCUGCACCUCUACGCGCUCAGCAGAAAUGUGAGAAGAUUAUCCUGUUGAUUACAAAUGAUAUAAAUGGAUACUUAAUGAGAAUAUUACUUGCCAGUAGUACAGGUCUCAACAAAUGGCAGCUAUUACAUCAGACAGUGACGAAUCCUGCUGCUCCCUUACAGUGUCUGACAGACCACUGUGGAUUCAGACUGGGAGCAUUGAAGUUAACAGUGAAACGGGCAGGUCUGUCUGUGUUAAGCCCUGCCACAGAGUGAAGAGGGCAUCAUGUCAUCCUUAUCAUUCCCAAAGUAGGUUAGGCUAGAUUUAAAGGGGAUGCAUUAGUUCUUUCUCCUUGUCUUUACUGACCUUGGUUAGCUGGGUGUAUUCAUGUAAGUGAUAGUUUGAAUGAGUGAAAAUAACUUUUAACCAGUAUUAGCUGCUGUGUUUAAAAAAAAGAAGAAUAAAAGGAGAGCUAGCCUCCCACGAGCUUCCUUGAAUUGAGAGGAGUUACUCCUAGGGUAGAAGUUGGGUGUCACAACUGCAGAAUUUUGUCAAGGAUGACUGAGUGUCCACUGGAAGUCAAGUAUCGGAUUUAUCUUUUCAUUGUCUCAGUCUCUGUCACUUUUAUACUCAUUACUUCUUAGUCAUUACUUAAUAUAUAAGGAUAUGUGUAGCUGUAUAUAAGUGAAUUAAACCUCAAAACCGUUGUCAUUUACAAAAGGCAAGUCAAAACUCAGGAGGAAUGCUUAAAUGUAUCUGUAAUCUAUUUAAGUACAUUUAUUAAAACCACCUAGGAUAAUGCCUAAAAGGCUUAUUUGGGGGCUAGCAGGAAAAGUUGAGGAAAUUUUGCUGUGCUGCUUUUGAAGUUAGUUUUUUUUUUUUCUUUCUUGAAUUAAGGCUAUUUAACUCACUAGUGUUUGAAGCUAGUAAAGAGAUAUUAAUUGAAUUGUAUCAUUGUAUGUGAGCUGUGAUUUGCAAACUGGGUCAGAAUGGCACAUGUUGGAUUCAAGAUUGAGGCUGGGAUAUUUUGGACUCUUACCUAUGUAGGAGUGAUAGCUACCAGGUGAUCUGAGGGAAUAGCAUUUUCAGUUUUCUGCACCUCCUAUGGGAAUAAUAAGAUCUGCUUUGGUCCUUGGCUUUCCUGCCAACUUGAAUAGGCUUCACUAAGGUUGAGUUGUAAAUAGAAGGAAAUGAAAUUGUACAGGGGAUUGGCUGUUUACCUUUUUCUUUCAGUUUAUAAAAUGGGGAUACUUACUUCCAAAGUUCCCUGAGUCUGAAUUUAUUAUGAUCAUAUCAGUAUCUUAGUUUUAGACAUAAAAACUUUCCUUAGCUCAGUGUUUAAUUUUAAAAUGAUGUUAGUCAUUCUGUUUCUUUAGUAGCAAGGACUACAUCACCUUCUGUUUUGAUGUGUGCAAUAUUUAUGGCUAGAAGCCAGUUUUCAUUGCUUGAGAAGAAAUGUGAUAGACCCCCCUGUGAAGUUUAUUUUAUAGGCUUUGAUCCAGUAAGUGAAGCAUGGCAGCACUGGAAGUGAAGAUCUUGAGUUCUAAGAAAUACAGCUACUUUGAAAUGUUUGGAAGUUAAAUACUGGGAAGGAUGGGGUGGUUUUUUUUUCUUUUUCUAUGUUUUGUCUGUUAUUAUUACACGGAAGGUACCAUAUCUUUAGUUUAAAAAUACAUUGGACCAAAAAUAAUCGUCGUUCUUUCCACUGCUCACAUGUUUUGGAAUUUAAACUCUCAUUGAUACUUAGGCUCCCAGGUUUGAAAGGCAUAACCAGGGAUUGUAGAGGUUUCAAUGGGAUUUCUACCACCGUUUGGUAUCAAAGCAAGGUCAGUAAUGUUGGGUAUUCUAGUCUUGCUACUUGACAGUAAUUUUUACAGGUCUUGCCCUUUAUAAACGUUCUGCUUGGUGGCCUGCUUUCUGUUGGAGCUAAGGUGCAGAGUGCCUCUGCUGAUAAUGUGGUUUGCUGGCUUAACAAGGGACGCUGUGGUCAGUUGAACCCGUGUACGUAAGUUGCUUCUAGUAGCCAAAUGGUGCUCUUGAUGCCUUUUGAUGUGCUGUGUGUCUACCACCGGGGAGCCACCCUCCAUGCCUUUCCUUUUCUGCUCUUGCACAUUUGUGGACAGUGUGAUCUGCAGUUGAGUUUUACAUAGCUGUUUUUUUCCCCCCCCCCAUAUAAAUUUGUGUCUUAAGCCUGUAGGCAGCCUGUGCUAGAGGAAGUCUGCUGGUGUUUCAUAGUCCAAGUGGUGAAGCUGACUUGCAAACUUUAAUAUUGUUACUUGUGAAAUGGCAGAAUAAAGAACAAAGCAAAAUCCCCCCUUUAUUUGGCAAAUAUUCACAAUUAAGUAUUAAAAAAAAAAACACUCAUGUGCAGAUUGACUAUUUGAAAGUGACAACCAUUUUAUUUGUGUUGGAAUUUGGCCAGAUAUAUUUCAUAAAUAACAUGAAUGUUUCUGCUGGUUUAUAGUGGCAGUGAGUUGUUUUCUCACAAAAAUCCAUGCUGUUCAAGUUUAACUGAUUUAAAAGAAAAAAACUGGAUGUGAUACAAUCUAUAUAGCUCUAAUUUAAAUAGGGAUAUCAUUUUUCUCAUAUAAAUUACUUGUACUUAACUACGUUUUCUUCCUUUUCUUUACUAUAUUUCAGCACAAAGACAUUAGCAGGCUGCUGGUUUCAUGGACCUGCACCACAGUGACACAGAACACCAGAGCAUCAGGACUGAAUGAAAUUGGAGACUCAGAUUUUUAAAGCUGCACUAAGAAGUAAAUGAUCAGGCAGUGGUUAAAACCAACAGUCUAUACAAGGGGCACUUGCAAAUUGUGCUGUGUUAAGCUGAAGAAAAGGUAUUAGGGGAAUAUUUUAUUAAAAACAGACUACUGCAAUAAAUUAUGUGUGAGAUGAGGAGAAAAGUGAUGUGAAAUAGGCGAAGAACUCCCUUGAAUUUUAUGUAUGAAGAAUCACUGACAGUAACUUCUUUUGAAUGUGAAGUUCUUCUCAGUACAUUUUGGACAGGCCUAAAAGGCAUGGGAUGAUGAUAGAAAUGCUGAGUUAUUUUUCAUACUAAAACUUGCGUGUAUUCACAGUUUAAUGUUAAUCAGCUCAGAUAUGAACAAAGGUGUUUCUAGAAUGGCUCUCCUCUGAAACAGCAAUAGUCACAAAUGCCAAGGCCGAUGUUUCCUUCAGGGUGCCAGUGGAAACAAGAAAAGAUUAUCUAACAUCCUACGAAAAGGAUGGCAAAGUGCCCCCGCCCCACCGAGAAAAUUUGGAUCUUUUCUUUAAUAAAGCAGGGCUAUAGUAUCUUAAAUAUACAUUUGCUUGUUAGAACAUACUAAGUAAGAUGUAUUUAUUUGCCACCAGUAUUUAACAUUUUGUGCACAUUUUCUUUACUACAUUCUUUCAUAUUCUGACUCAAAGUGGAUAGGCUAGUGUUCGUUUUGGAGUGAAAAUAUACUCUUAAGAGCUAGUUCUUCUGCUGAGCCGGAGAAGCUUUUUUUCUCUGUCCUUACUGAUUUUAUCUAAUUCAGAAAAGGUGACAAUAUCUCAAUUUUGAUGUUGACCUCUCUCUACAGCUUUCUAAGUGCAAGAAGUUCUCACAGGUGUCAGGUGGGACUUGACCCUGGGGAACAAGCAACAGGAACAGACCCAUAAAGACGGUGAACUUUUCAUGCAUGGGGUAUGGAUUCUUGUUAAUGGAGACCUAGAUGUUUUUCUUGUCUAUAGAAAAUACAUAUUAUUGAAAAACCUUAAUUUUUUUUUUAAUGAAUAGAGAAAAAAACAAUGAGAAAACCAGAUAGACCUGUUAGUACUACAUUUUUAAGGCAUUUUAUAUUUGAUGGUGCCGUACUUUUAAUAAUAAAACUGAAGUUUUUUAGUGGCAAUACUGAAUUAUUUUUUAAACCAGAAAGAUAAUCCAUAUUGAUUACUUAAUACAAAAAAAAAAAGGAAAAAUGCCAAAAAAAAUUUAUUUGAAGCAACAUAACUAAGCAUUUGGCUCAAGCAGUCAAACUAUAUAGGUUUGCAGUUACUUAAUAACCCCACACUCAGAAUUAACAAAAAUUUCUGGAUGAGUUUUACAAUAUUUACUAUACCUGACUGAUACUUGUUUUACAACUCGAGAAAAGGUAGGCAGUCUUGUUUCUAGCAAGUUAAUGCAAAUCCUAAUUACACUCUGAGUAAUUAGAAGCCUUGAUCACAUUCUAAAAUUGUCUUUAUAAAGGGAGUUCCUCUUGUGGCACAGAGGAAAUGAAUCUGACUAGUAUCCAUGCGGCUGCUGGUUCGAUCCCUGGCCUUGCUGUGAGUUGUGUGGUAUAGGUUGCAGAUGUGGUUCCAAUCUGGAGUUGCUGUGGUGUAGGCUGGCAGCUAUGGCUCCAAUUAGGUCUCUAGCCUGGGAGCUUCCAUAUGCCUCGGGUGCGGUCCUAAAAAAAUAAAAAAAAUUGUCUUUAUGGAAAACUCUUUAUCAUGAAGUCAUUAUACAUUUGAUCAAGUCUGAAAAAGCUCAGGAACUGCAGCAGCAGGGAGGGCUCAAGCUAAUGCGCAGGCACACUGUCCCGGUGCCCUGGCCUCUGGCCCUAGGCUGGGUUCCAUCUUGUUCUUUGAGAUCUGUAACCAAGCAGAACCAGAUAACUCCUAGGUCAUAGCAGAUUCUGUGUAAUAAAAAAUUCUAACUAAGCUUUAUAAGUAUUUGUGCAGAGUGAUGGAAAUGACCAGGAACUAAUAUAAAAGAAUUUGGGAGAGAUCAGGUUUUAAGUAUCAUAUUAUUUUUUCUUAUGACAUUCUCAAUGGUGUUUGUUAUAAACCCAAUUUUCAUUUUUUAAAAAGUGAAACUUGGUGGUAUUUAAAAUGUAGACAUACUAUGUUGCUAUUUCACUUUCAUUGCUUUAGUUGCUUAAUAUUUAAGCUUUGCUUCAUGCUGCCGUCAUCUGUAUUUCAAAUCUUCACAAGCCUGUUUUUGUUUUGUAGACUUGAAUGACAUUGUUUCUCAUCUAAAAAUAUGCAGAGACCUAAAUGCUAAAGAAAGCUGUGGAACAUGUAUCCAAUAAAGGCUUGUUUUUUUUUUU